AAGUCGUAACAAGGUUUCCGUAGGUGAACCUGCGGAAGGAUCAUUAACACGUGAAAACGUAUUAACCAAUCUAACCUUAAAACAACCCGUGAAUUUCACCCCUCCCUAUUCGCAAGUGCUGAAUUUGUGCGGUAUGUUGUAGGCUAUGAGCAAUCAUAGGCAACUGCAUGGAUUCUAAGGUUCAAAACCUGAGGCAUUUGUUGGUAGGCUUUUUCUAUAUUGCCCCUGCAACACAAUAGACAAAACAAACCCUAUGUCACCUUAAAAACAAUUGACUGAUGUACGCCAAAUGAGACAGAAAUGUCUGGAUUGGUACCAUUUAUUCUAACUAAGCACAACUCUUAGCAAUGGAUAUCUUGGUUCUC
rnacentral:misc_RNA from 1 species